AGUAACGCGUGAGGAACCUGCCUCAAAGAGGGGGACAACAGUUGGAAACGACUGCUAGUACCGCAUAAGCCCACAGCUCGGCAUCGAGCAGAGGGAAAAGGAGUGAUCCGCUUUGAGAUGGCCUCGCGUCCGAUUAGCUAGUUGGUGAGGUAAUGGCCCACCAAGGCGACGAUCGGUAGCCGGACUGAGAGGUUGAACGGCCACAUUGGGACUGAGACACGGCCCAG
rnacentral:rRNA from 1 species